CCUACGGGAGGCAGCAGUAGGGAAUCUUCCACAAUGGGCGAAAGCCUGAUGGAGCGACGCCGCGUGGGUGAAGAAGGUCUUCGGAUUGUAAAACUCUGUUGUUAGAGAAGAAAGUGUGUGAGAGUAACUGAUUACGUUUCGACGGUAUCUAACCAGAAAGCCACGGCUAACUACGUGCCAGCAGCAGCGGUAAUACGUAGGUGGCAAGCGUUAUCCGGAUUUAUUGGGCGUAAAGGGAACGCAGGCGGUCUUUUAAGUCUGAUGUGAAAGCCUUCGGCUUAACCGGAGUAGUGCAUUGGAAACUGGGAGACUUGAGGGCAGAAGAGGUGAGUGGAACUACAUGUGUAGCGGUGAAAUGCGUAGAUAUAUGGAAGAACACCAGUGGCGAAGGCGGCUCACUGGUCUGUAACUGACGCUGAGGUUCGAAAGCGUGGGGAGCAAACAGGAUUAGAUACCCGUGUAGUC
rnacentral:rRNA from 1 species